rnacentral:rRNA from 1 species
UACGGAAGGCAGCAGUGGGGAAUAUUGCACAAUGGGCGCAAGCCUGAUGCAGCCAUGCCGCGUGUAUGAAGAAGGCCUUCGGGUUGUAAAGUACUUUCAGCGGGGAGGAAGGCGAUGCGGUUAAUAACCGCGUCGAUUGACGUUACCCGCAGAAGAAGCACCGGCUAACUCCGUGCCAGCAGCCGCGGUAAUACGGAGGGUGCAAGCGUUAAUCGGAAUUACUGGGCGUAAAGCGCACGCAGGCGGUCUGUUAAGUCAGAUGUGAAAUCCCCGGGCUUAACCUGGGAACUGCAUUUGAAACUGGCAGGCUUGAGUCUUGUAGAGGGGGUAGAAUUCCAGGUGUAGCGGUGAAAUGCGUAGAGAUCUGGAGGAAUACCGGUGGCGAAGGCGGCCCCUGGGACAAAGACUGACGCUCAGGUGCGAAAGCGUGGGGAGCAAACAGGAUUAGAUACC